rnacentral:lncRNA from 12 species
AUGGUUUCUAGAACUAGUCUUUCACACCAUGUUCUGAUGAGCCUAGUGGUGCUGUCACUUCACCCUCCCCUUGGGCCUGGUCUUCAAUUUCCUGAUUGCUCUUCGACUACCUUCCUGGUUUCUCAGCCCGCUGCUCAGGAAAAAAUAUCUAAAGCCAUGCCUUGGACCUCACCUGCUCUGGCUAAAAAAAUACUUCCUUCCAACCUGAUGAGGCUUCCAUUCUCACAGGAUAUUAGAAGCAAAACACUAGAGGAGAAACGAGCUGAAGUCAGCGCCGAGCCCAUGGAGAGGAGAGAACUGUAAGACUGUACAGAGAACUGUUAGGGAAACCAUGAACCGAAGCUAAGGAGCUCUGAGGCCGUCUAGGGUAGGUGGAAUUAAUUCGGCCUACUAAGAAGCCUUCAAUGUCAUGUCUGUAGCAUCAAGAUGCUCUCUCAGUUUGUUAUAGUUUGUUUUUCUUUUUAAAAUUUUAUUUAUUUGAAAGAGAGAGACAGAGCACAAUCAGGAGAGCAGCAGGCAGAGGGAGAAGGAGAAGCAGGCUCCCCGCUGAGCAGGGAAUCCAAUGCGGAUGGAUCCCAGGACCCGAAGAUCAUGACCUGAGUUGAAGACAGAUCUUAACUGACUGAGACACCUAGGUGCCCCAGCUUAUUACAGUUUUUACUACAUUUUCAUUUUGUUUAUUCAUUUUAUUUAUAUUAUUCUCCACAUUUUUUAAUACUAUAUAAAAAAAAUGCUUUCUAUCUCCCAAGCAUCAUGGGGAACACUUGAAAUAGUAGUAGCAGGUGUUAACACUCCCAGCAUCCCUCAGAGGCGGCAGGCUCUGGUCUGUCGCUGCGGAUGGGAAUGGGACUGCGAUGAGAUAUGUAACUGUUCCCAAAUUUGAGCAGCGGCAGCAACAGCAGAGUGUCGUGGGAAGCCAGCCCACAUCGUGCCAGAGUCCUUGCAGCAUCCACCCUCUCCACGCAUUUAGCAGAAUGCCACAGGCUGACCCUCAACAAAGACUAAAUUAUGUUUCAGGAAAGUCUGUUUGAAAGGCUGCAAAACACGUGUGACAUUUUGGAAAUUUUUAUCCAAAAAAAAAAAAAAAAGAAGAGAUUCAACUAUCACAGGUACUGGUGCUUCAAAGGGUCUAAAGCUCGGGUUAUCAGGAAAAGCCACAUGUGGGAAGCAGCUCUCUCUCCCAUUGCUGGAUCAAUGAGACAGUGUUGAAUUUCAAUGAUCUUAUAAAUGCAACAAGAGUGAUAAAUAUAAAUCUAUUAAAGCUCUUACAUUUAGAACAAGUAAUCUGUAUUCUUCGGCCAUA